rnacentral:rRNA from 1 species
GAUUAGCUCAGUAACACGUGGAUAAUCUGCCCUAUGGUGGAGGAUAACCCCGGGAAACUGGGGAUAAUACUCCAUAAGUCAGGAGUACUGGAAUGUCUCCUAACUGAAAGUUGCGGCGCCAUAGGAUGAAUCUGCGGCCGAUUAGGUAGUUGUUGGGGUAACGGCCCAACAAGCCUGUAAUCGGUACGGGUUGUGGGAGCAAGAGCCCGGAGAUGGAAUCUGAGACACGAUUCCAGGCCCUACGGGGCGCAGCAGGCGCGAAAACUUUACAAUGCAGGAAACUGUGAUAAGGGAACCCCGAGUGCCCGUAAACGCGGGCUGUCCCGGUGUUUAAAACACAUCGGAAGAAAGGGCCGGGCAAGACCGGUGCCAGCCGCCGCGGUAAUACCGGCGGCUCGAGUGGUGACCACUUUUAUUGGGCUUAAAGCGUUCGUAGCUUGAUUUUUAAGUCUCUUGGGAAUCUCACGGCUUAACUGUGAGCGUCUAGAGAUACUGGAUCUAGGGACCGGGAGAGGUAGAGGUACUUCAGGG